UUGCAGUAGGUGUUAACGGGGACUCGGGAUGUGACGCGAUAGGACCUUCCCUGCUCUGUGAUUUAAAUAUGACGUGUGCUUAGGAGGCGUAGACAAGGCAAGGUGUGUAUUUAAGGAGCGGCCACACUGUAAUAAAUGCCAUUUGCUAUAUCCUCAUAUAGGUGUCUGUGUAGCAAUGGCCCUAGCGAGGGUAGAUCGCUAGCCCCUGGCGGAAUGUGCCUCAGAAGCAGGAACAACAAAUGGUGCCCCGUGUGAGGAAGAAUAGGUCCGUCGCUCCCCAAUGUCCCAGGUGUUGCCUGAGAUCCGGUGAGGGAUCUGCUCCUGGCCAGGAGGAUGGAGUGGAGGAGAACAAGAUGGCAACUGUUUCCUGACCCACCCCUCGCCACUGUAUCCGGUCCGACCGACUCGACCCGGAUAUCCUUUUAUGGAGUUGAGGGCGCAUGCGACUGAUCAGGGGUCUCCACAACAGGGAGGACCUGUUUUGUUGGCUAUUUCAAGGGGUUGGCCGAUGGUGGUCAUUGACCUCAAGGUCUGCUUUUUCUCUAUCCCUCUCACAGAAGAGGACCGAGAAGCAUUUGCCUUCACGUUUCCGGUGACUAAUAAUGAAGGGCCUGCAGAGAGAUAUCAAUGGCGUGCCCUCCCUCAGGGAAUGAUGUGCUCCCCUACAGUGUGUCAACUAGUAGUGGGAAAUGUUCUGAAGGCGGUCUGAAAAGAUUUCCCUCAGUAUAUGGUUGUACAUUAUAUGGACAAUCUAUUGCUUGCUGCUCCCUCUUAUUUGGGGCUACAUAUGCUUGAGACUCGGGUAGUGGAAACCUUGACCACUGCCAGAUUUGUUAUCUCUGAACAAAAAUUGCAGAGGGGCCCGGGGGUUGAAUACCUCGGAUAUAAGUUUCGCCCAGAGAUGGUUCGGCCAACAGGGCUUGACAUUUGACCCCACAUUACCACCCUGUGGGAUGUGCAGAAGUUGGUGGGGGCAAUUCAGUGGGUCCGAGGGGCCUUGGGAAUUGCCUCCCGGCUUAUGAAACCCUUCUAUGAUCAACUGAAGGAGGUGGACCCGAGAGAACCUCGAGAGCUCACCCAUGAUAUGGCUGCUGCAUGGCAUGAAAUUCUGCAGUGUUGUAUGGUGCAGUCGCUAGCGCGGUGGGACCCCAAUCUAGAUCUUGAAGUAGCAGCGACUCGAUGCGAGGCCGGUACAACUGCCAUUUUGGGCCAUACCCUUGAUGCUAAGCCACGACCUCUGUGGUGGUUGUUUUCAGUGCAGCCUACGUGAGUCUACACUUCCUGGCUUGAGAUCUUAGCAAUGCUGCUCAGGAAGUCCCUAUUGCUAUUGUUGCAGGCCCUGGCAAGAGAACCUCAUGUUAUAUACCUGCAGAGCUCAUUUCGGGACAUGCAGCCGCUCCCUGAAGCCCUUCUUACGGUGUUGCGGGGCUUUGGGGGAAGCACUGUGUACUCUGAUUCGUUACCCAUUUUUGAUUUAGCUAAGCCCCUCAAUGUCUCCCUUCGAUCUCGUGUCCUAACCUCUCUGCUUGAUGGGCCCACCCUGUUCACGGAUGCAUCUUCAACCACCGGACAGGGGCAGGACUCAAGCAACAGUUGGGAGACCGCUGUUUUUACCGAUCAGACAGCUAGUGUGCAAAUGCUUGAGGUGAUGACUGUGGCGGUAGCAGUGCAUUUGUGGUGAGAGAUUCCAUGUAACAUCGUCACUAAUUCUGCUUUCGUGGCCAGACUGCUUGUCUACAUGGAUCAAGAAGGGCAUCUGAGCUCUGAGGCCGCUGGCCUCCUAGAAGAAGCUUUGGCUUCCUGCUCAGCUCCUGUGGCCAUCUUGCAUGUCUGCAGCCAUUCUGAUGUGCCAGGCUUCUUUACAGCAGGGAAUGCUGUAGUGGACAGAGCUGCCCAUACACUUGUUUUCAUGGUUCACGAAGCCCGUGACCUUCAUGCCACCCUUCACAUAGGCGCCCGUGCACUGGCUAGGACAUGUUCCAUUCCUUUGUCUGUUGCACGCGAUGUUGUUCAGGGAUGUCCCCACUGUAAUUCUGCACCUGUAAUAGAGGCUGGAGUUAACCCCCAUGGUCUCGGACCAUUACAAAUUUGACAAACAGAUUUCACUUGGGAACACCAUCUGUCCCCCCACCCUUGGCUUACCAUCACGGUGGAUACUUCCUCCAUUGUCAUCGUAGCCACGCAGCAUGCUAAGUCUAACUUGUCCGUGGCACAAUAUCAUUGGGUUGCUGCCAUUGCUGUGAUGGGCUUGCCUAAUCAGAUUAAGACUGAUAAUGGGUCCUGCUUCAUCUCGUAAAACAUCUUGAGAUGGGAAAAAUAGUAUGGGUACCAUUGCGGAAAGUUAAAUCAGAUGCCAGCAAGGAAAUAACCGGACUAUGAGCCUUCUUGUUCACAGGUUUGGCUCCUGGGGAGGCCUAAACCACAGACAGAGGAGACAAGAGAACAAAAAAAAAGGAGCCGUUCCUGAAAGCUCCUGCUAAGACUGCAGCACAUGCUAAGUAUACAACACUUUUGCUUAUAGUAUCGGCAAUAGGUACUGCUCAGGCCUGGGAAAGCAACGGGUAUGUCAACGUUACCCACGUAAUGGCCCAGCAUUUCAAUUUAUCAGACUGUUGGAUUUGUACUGCCUUACCACGGGGAGGGAACUCCCCUUGCUAGGAGUUCCAGUGCCAUUCAGAAACUGGAGCUUGCCAUGGGACGCGGUGCAAGUACAGUACAUGGGGCGUGGCGAAAGUUUGUAUUGGUUUGUGCGGGCUUCAUGUGGUCUGGCGGGGCACGCAUCCCUACUCCCUAGCGGGGAAACAUUAUGCUGGAGUUUUCAGGACCCCUUGACCUCUUGACCGCCCAAGGUCAUGAAACCAGACGUAGCUUGUUAUCUGAAUACUAGCUCUCCGAGGUUUGAGAUGCUAUCCCCAUGGCCGAACAAUACUGUUGUCCUGGCGCAGAAUGGCAGCUACAGUGUGGGUCAUUUUUCAGCAGUGAACGUUACUUGAUGCCCAAGCUCAGAGCACUGCCCUAGGCCGAUAGUGGUGGCCUUGAGCAAUCCUGGCGGUACCCCACUGGGAUGUCCUCCCAAAGGUCUAUGGUGGCUGUAUGGGGAUGGCCGAGCAAGGAAAAGUGUACCAUCUGAUUGGAGUGGCUCUUGCACCUUGGGAGCCCUCAUUCCAAAUGUUGUCUGGCAUAACUGAUCGGCACCUCCUCCUGGAAUCCUACGAACACACUGGAGGAGAGUGCAGAGGGUUCUGAACCCUGUAGUGGAGAAACCUACUGGUUUACACAGUUUUGCUAGAUGGUUCAUCCCAUCCUUGGGGGUGAGUGAGUUAGAGAAAACGUUUGUUAACAUUUCAGCCACCUUGGAAAUGAUAGAAAAUGCCACCGUUGAUGCAAUCAGGACAUUACAAGGAGAAGUCUCUACACUUAGCAAGGUGGUAUUACAGAAUAGGAUGGCAUUAGACCUCUUAAUGGCAAAAGAAGGAGGAGUCUGUGUGGUAAUAAACCACAGCUGCUGUGCCUAUGUCGAUAAGACUCAGAGGGUAGAGACGGGCAUACAAGCAAUAUGGGAACGGACUAAAUUACUCCAUCAAGUGUCCAUGGACGAUACUUCAUGCGGAUUUCGGGACUUAUGGGAGAAGCUCAUGAGUUGGUUACCUGACUUCACAUGGCUGAAGCAACUCUUCAUCGUUUGUGUCAUCAUAAUGAUCAUACUUAUAUUAAUGUGAGUCACUAUGCGAUGUAUGUUGUGCCUAUGUAUAAAUUCUGGGAAGGGCUAUGGAAAAUGGAAAAAACUCAGGUUAGGGCAGCAACUAAGGUACUUAUAGUUGCCUUGCCUCUAAUUGUAUUAUAUGUAAUAUAAUCGCCAUAUGCUGUAGCAAGUAGACUAGCUUAAAAGACCCAACAUAGCUUGCCAUCCCCUCUGUGUCCUAGGCUGGCGAUCUCGGUGGGUGUUGAUUAAGAAAUUGCAGUCACGCUGUAACGGGGCAAGACUUUACUGAGCAUGGGGAGGGGGAAAUAUUGCAGUAGGCGUUAACGGGGACUCGAGAUGUGACACGAUAGGACCUCCCCUGCUCUGUGAUUUAAAUAUGACAUGUGCUUAGGGAGCGUAGACAAGGCAAGGUGUGUAUUUAAGGAGCUGCCACGCUGUAAUAAACGCCAUUUGCUAUAUCCUCAUAUAGGUGUCUGUGUAGUAAUGGCCCUAGCGAGGGUAGAUUGUUAGCUCCCGGCAGAACGUGCCUGUGAAGCGGGAGCAACAAACGUGCGUGUCGCUAAUGUGCAUAACAGAACUUGCCUUACCCAUGGGUUACCAGGAGGCUAAGAAAAGUAAUCUAACACCUAGGCCAACUUGCAGACUCCUUGGGUAAUUCAUGCCGGACGAGUCACCUCAGCAUGUGCCAGAUUUUCACAUAUAAUAUGAUUACAAGUAAUAAACAAAUCAGUGUUAGAAUUAAUAAAAUCACAACUGGGUGAAGCACAGAAUUAAAAGCUCCUCUUGCUGUUGGUGACCAUCCAAGAAGCAUUUCCCACCAGUGGUGUUCUCCAUCCUUCUUCACCCUUUCUAGGACAUGGUGUAUCUCUUUUGUAUCAUGGUGAACAGUAAUUAGAAUUUUUUUGUCUGUUAUCUCAGAUGCAUUCUAGCAGUUGGUACAGAUCAUCAUGUUGCAGUAAUUUCUUUAAUAAAUCAAGGUUCAUUCCACUUGAUGCAGGUAGCCAAUGUUGGAUUAAUGUGUAAUUGGAUCAUAACAAUUGAUAUGAUGUAACUGCAACUGAAUAAUUAGAGUCACAUCCCAUAAUGUUGGUAAAGUUACAAACACAAACAUUUGAAUGAUUCCUUGUAUCUAUAGUAAUAUUACCUAUGAGUAUAAAAUUACAAGAAGUUCUCAUACACACACAUCCUUUUCCACUAUAGACAAGCACUGUUUCAGGGGUUUCAUUGGGAUACACCUCAAAACAGCAAAUAUUUUGCUUAGUGUCAAGACAAAUGUCUUGAGCCUUGAUGGUAUUACUUUCACAAAUAAAUCCUUGUUGUUCCCAUACAGCAAAUGAACUAACAUUAACAGUUUGCCAUUUGUUUCCAUUUUGCUGGGCCCAUACUGUGUGUUCUAAUGGGUAGAGUAUAAACUAGUUGUGAUUCAGUCCCAGCACAAUGAUUGGGUAUACAAUAUAUACUGAAGCACUGUGUAUUAUUAGGACAAAAGCUAUAGCAUAGUUAUUAACAGGAUCAUAAGUGAAAUUAACUAGAUGCCCCUAAGAUUGAAAUUUUCUUUCAGAUUUGUCUGCAUUGUCCAAGAUCACCUUUUGAAUUUUAGUGUGUAAAGCAUUUCCUUUACCUUCUACAACUAAGAGCUAGGGAGACAUUAUUUUGAGUUAUGGCAAGUAUAUCUACAAUUAACUGGUGGUCUUUUAUAUUUGUUCUUUCCCAUUGAGAUAAUACAUUAGAUAAGAACCGCUGGUUGGUUCCCAGUGCUGAUGGGGAAGACUGGGUUUUGCAAUACACAUAGAUCACCUGUUACAUCCGAUACCCUACCUUUAUUCUAUUCUUUGUCCUACAUUUCCCUGGACUUGGGGAAGUCAGCCAGUACUAUCCUGGCCCCAUUCAUUUCCUGAAUACAUUUCAUUACUGCGCUUAACCACAGUUGAAAGGGUUAAGCCUCUUAGAAUUAGAAUUUGGUCCCAUAUGCCCAACGUAGGCCAAUGUAGGCAUGGGACCAUUACCAGUUAGUGAAUGUGAUAGGGUCAGCAUAAGCAAUUACAAAUAUUAAUCUGAAGAAGAUGCCUGUCCAAAACAGUGACACUGUUGAUGAUACCACAAUGGAUACCACAGGGAUCUCAGGAAAAGGAGCAGGGUGAGAAGGGAACUUGCGAGUCACAGCAUCAGGGUCAGCAUUCAUUAGCAUAUGGAAAACAAAAGAGAGAGAACUUCCUGGUUCCAGAGGAACAAAGGUUAUAGGAGGCAUAGCUGAAAAAGAAAAAAAACAAAACUUUCUAGUCCCAAAUGAACCAAGGUCAAAAGGUAGGUGAAAUCCAGAUGGAUAAUUUUGUACAUUUCCCCUGAUUGUCUUGAGCCUUCCAGAUUUUAUUUUCCAGAUUAACCCUCUUUGAGGGUUAAAGGGACAGAACCAAUGAGGGGCAAAUUAAUUAACACCCGGUUGUCCCGGGGAGUAUUUGUCCGAAUAAGCAGCCCUUUGAGUAAGGGACCACAGGGUGUAAUGGUUGCCAGUAGUGAAAAAUAUUCCAGGUCCUCACAUCCUCCAGACUUUCUCCUGGAUACAAGUCACUGCCUGGGCAACUAGCAUUAAUCUCCCUCUCAUUUACUAUCUGUUCUCUAAGGGCUUGGUUAAAGGAUGACUUUUGAAUGUUUUUCUUUCUCUAACUGUCCCCUAAGGUCUUCUACUUGGCCCUGCAGGUAUGUGACCAGUUCCUGCAAGGACUGAAUAAUUUGAAUUUCUGCCAUGUGCUACUGGUUGGGGAUCUCUACAUCAGCAGUAAGAGCAGCUCCUAGAACUGCACAAAUGGUUGAUUUUCCCUUUCCCUCCUCCAUACGAGUUGUUUGUGGAGGGAAUUUAUAUGAACUGUGACUCCUUCUAAGUUGGACCAGCUAUUCUGUUCCCACCCUAUCCCCACAGGGGAGGGUUUGGCACCAUUUUUUUAAAGAGGUUGAAAAGCGGAUAUCCACCUUUUUUUUUUUUUUUUUUUUUUUUUCCCCAAUGAUCAUGCCUCAAAAUGUGGAGCAAUCUCUUCAGGGGAAAGGAGGAACAUGUAAUAUCCACAACUCAACAAUUUCCUUCUUACACCCCCGAAGGAUCAACUUCCUACUUUUUUCUACCAAUAACGCAUUUGUUGCUACCACCUGGACACAUUGAGGCCAACCUCGAGAUAGAGGGUCUAAUAGCUUAGACAAUUAUGAGUAGAUUUUCUUUUGUUCCCCCCAUUCUUGUGUUAGAACUUCUAGAGUAGCUCCUUCAUUGACACUUAACAAAAAGGUGAGAAGUUUUUUUCAGGGCAGGCAGUUCUAACACUGGUGCUGUGAUUAAGUCCCAUUUUGAUACUUCUACUAAUUCUUUUUCCCCUUUUGUUCAUUUUAAUAUGUUGGGUUCUCCCUCUGAUAGUUUGAGAUACAAUCUCUUUGUCUUUUUGUGCAUAUGCUUCUAUUUGUAAUUGACAGAAUCCAAUUAAACCUAAAAACUUUUGCAACUCCCCCUUUGUUCUGGGCAGAGAAAGCUGCAAAAUUUCCUGAAUUCCUUCAGGAUUUAUUCUGCAUUUCCCUUCAGAAAUCACAUGCCCAAGGUAUCUGACUUCUUUUUCCACAUACUGCAGUUUAUUUUUAGAUACCCUUAGCCCACAUUCCUCCAAGAAGUUCAAGAGUUUACUUGUAGUCUUUUUUACUUUAGAGUCCUCUUUGCCACAAAUCAGCAAAUCAUCUACAUACUGUAACAACUUUACCCCCUCUUCAACCUGAAACUUUUUCAAAACUUUCUCCAGCACUUGUCUGCAUAGAUUAGGUGAUUCUGUGAACCCCCGGUGUAAAACAAUCCACAUAUAUUGCUGCUUUCAUCCCAUUUCUGGGUCCUCCCAUUCAAAGGCAAAAAGAUCUCGACUCUCUGAGUCCAAAGGGCAGGUCCAGAAAGCAUCUUUUAAGUUUAUUAUACUAAACCAUUUUUGUUUGUGUGGGAUCUGACUCAUUAGAGUAUAGGGGUCAGGAACUACAGGGUGCACUUGAGAACUAUUUCAUUAAUUUUUCUUAGACCUUGCACCAGUCAAUACGUGCCAUCUGCCUUCUGUACUGACAAAACUGGAGUGUUAAAGGGUGACAUACAGAGUUCCAGAAGACCAUCUCUAACCAAUGCCUAUAUUAUAGGUUUUAGACCCAUUAUCCCUUCUAAAGGUAUGGGAUAUUGUCACAGUUUCACAGCUUCACGUCCUCCUUGGACAGUUAUUUUUAAGGGAGUAACUGUGAGUCUACCCCAGUUUCUUUCCCCUGCCCACACCACUGGAUUUAUUUCUUUUUAUCAUCAGCUGUUAACAAAUUCAUUGAUACCUUUAUACCUGUUCCACACGUUUUCAACUGCAAUCCUAAUGUAACUGUUAAAUCUCUCCCCAAUAAAUUGGUCCCUGCUUCUGGCAAAUUUAACAAUUUCUCUGUGACUAUUUUAUCUUCCUAUUUUAAUUCAGCAUUCUCAAAAAUUGAAACUAUAAUUCCUGAUCCCUGUACCCCUGUUAUUCUUAAAAUGUUCCCAUUUAAAUUAAGUCCUGGUAUUUUAUAAGUUUCAGAUGACCAAGUAUUAAUCAAACUGUUUUGCUAAUCCAAUAGGGUCUUCCAUUAAACAUUUCAUUUUCUUUUAAAAUUUCUCACCCCACUAGUAAGUGGGGAGUUUACAUAUCCUAUAUCUCCUGGUAACAUCGGAACUUCCCUAAGAGGAUACAUGUAAGUGUUAGUGGGGUUAAUGGAGUUAGAUUUAGGAAAGGGGAAAUUUAUAAUAUUCCCUUUGCAUUGUUCCAAUUCACAGAUCUCUGUUCAGAUGGAUGAUGAUUUGAGCCAAUACCCUCCACUCUGUCAGCUGUCUGCAGUCUCCCUGCUGUAGUUACAGGACUUGACUCAAGGACAGGAUGCCAGCAUGUAUGAUAAGAAAAAAGAUUCUGCAGUGUAAGACUUCAACUAUGACUUCUUAUUGUUUGAGAAGAUGGACCGGGGAAAUGGAAAUCUGCCAAGAACCGAGUGAAUUUUGCUGAAGUAUUUAGUUGUCAGGAACGAAUGGAAAAUACAUCUGGCAAGCCACAGGAAAGACUCAAACCUCUGUGGAGCUUUCUGUAAAUUUAUCUUAAGCAGUGCUCAAAAUAGAAUUCAAUAAAAGCAGUUCAAUCCCUCAUUUCAUCUAUGUAUGUUUGCACAACUAAAUGAAAAUGGUAAGAUGAAAUACUGACAGUGGUCACUAUCAACAGCUGGAGGUCAAUAAAGAAGAAGCUUUUGGAAAUUCUAUCAAGAAAUGAAAACCAGGAAUAUAUAAAUACUGCCAGGAAAUAUCUUACUGAGCUGCUACACAAUACAGAAAUCUCUGCAAUGCAAUUUCAGUUCAGGUCACUUCCUAUUCUACAUACUUCUCUAUUGUUUACUUUUCUGAAACAUAAUAUAUCUGAUGUGAUUUCAAGUGUAACUUUUCAGACACAGUGAAGAAAAUAUUGCAUUGAACUAUGUUACCUACAGCACCACAUCCUCCACAAUGAAAGAAAAAAAGUUACAGCUAUUGUGUGCAUCUGCCGUGCAGGGUAGCAUUAUCAGCACUCAUGCCCUUGGCAUAACCCAGGAGACUGGAGGAAUGUAAGAUCUCAAUUAAAAACAGCAAUUUCUACAGUGAACUCAGCUGAGAAUGAUAAAAGAUUUAGAAACCAGAAGAUAUCAAAACAAAUAUUUC
ensembl:lncRNA